UUGAACUUGUUGAGUACUUUUGUACUCACCCUUGUGUUGUUGCUUCAGAGGAGGAUCCGGACUUCUUCACCGAGGACUUCGAGUAGGAGGUUGCGUCUGCACCCAACGCUGUCUGCGGUGUUGGCCCUUUUGCAGGAUGCUUCCGCUGACGCUUAGUUCCGAUUGCAGCCCGGAGUCCGACUGGAAUGCAACUUGGAUU
rnacentral:lncRNA from 1 species